UACAGAGGUCCCGAGCGUUGUUCGGAUUCACUGGGCGUAAAGGGUGCGUAGGUGGCUUGGAAAGUUUGAUGUGAAAGCUCAGGGCUUAACCCUGAAAUUGCAUUGAAUACUGCCGGGCUGGAGGUUUGGAGGGGGGACUGGAAUUCUUGGUGUAGCAGUGAAAUGCGUAGAUAUCAAGAGGAACACCAGUGGCGAAGGCGAGUCCCUGGACAACACCUGACACUGAGGCACGAAAGCUAGGGGAGCAAACAGG
rnacentral:rRNA from 1 species